rnacentral:rRNA from 1 species
UUACCGGCUAGAAUGGACGGAAACUUCUUCGGACCAAGGUGCUGCAUGGUUGUCGUCAGCUCGUGCCGUGAGGUGUUGGGUUAAGUCCCGCAACGAGCGCAACCCUAUCUUAGUUGCCAUUCUGGGGGACUCUAAGAGACUGCCGGCGUAACCGGAGGAAGGUGGGGACGACGUCAAAUCAUCAUGGCCUUUAUGCCGGGCGACACACGUGCUACAAUGGGGUACAAGGGGCACCGCAAGGGGAGCAAUCCCUAAACCGUCCCAGUUCGGAUUGGAGUCUGAAACCCGACUCCAUGAAGUUGGAAUCGCUAGUAAUCGCGAUCAGCAUGCGCGGUGAAUACGUUCCCGGACCUUGUACACACCGCCCGUCAAGCCAUGGAAGCUGGGGGCCGAA